AGACGGACCUCGUGUGUUGUCUGAAGUGCCAACCGGGUCAGGUGGGGAACCAAGCAGCCCUACGCAAUUUCUGACAGGCCAUGAGUCAUCUGUUUUGC
rnacentral:SRP_RNA from 1 species